GGGGGGGGGGGGGAACGACGACGACGUUAUUCCCGACUUCCUAACAUCAGUCAGGGCAAGAUUUAGUACCGCUGAGAGAAAAAACGUUGUAAGGCUCUUUUAUUUGAUAUCCAUUCCAACAGCAAGGAGGCUUUGAGGUGGUCUGUCACUGGUAAUUUGUACUAAGCAAUACUAUGCUUUGAUCACAGAAUCACAGAAUUGUAGGGGUUGGAAGGGACCUUUAAAGAUUGAGUCCAGUCCCCCUUUGAUGAUGAUUCUUGUAGGAAUACGUUAUGUUAAAUCUUCCAGAAAAGCGCAGUUGACAGAUUUACAGCUGCAUUAGGCCAAGCAGCGUUCAUUUGGCUUCAGAAAAUACAAAUUGGUCUAAGGAGAGCAACUGAAAUUAUCCAUUGUCAGUGCUUCAGAGCAGCUCCACGUAGGUGCCAAUUCUGAAUGUAAGGAAUGGAGAGCGUUUCCUCCAUAAGCCCACAACCAAACAUGGUGGAAUGACGUCGCUCUCUCAUUUUUAAUACUCCAGUACCUUCUAAGAAACAGCAGAGAAUUCUUCCAGAAACAUCUACAAACCGUAUGUUAUGUAAGUAGUUCUCAGCUUAGGUUUAUAAUAAGCACUUGAAAUGGCAAAGCAUUUUAAAGAUGUCUAAGGAAAAAAACCUGGCAAUGCAACAUUAAUUUUGGCAUUUUUUUUCCACUUGUCAUUCUCAUGCUUCCUUUCCAAUAUCCUCUUUACAGUUAUCUGCUCUACCUUUCUGGGACAGUUUCAGUGGAUGUAAGUUUACAGCCAAAGGCACCUGAGAAGACUGACAUGCUUACAAUAAAUCUGUCCAUUAACUGCUUCAGCCCUCGUCCUUUUGCAAGCAUCUCAAAUAAAUGCCUGUUUUCCAA